rnacentral:misc_RNA from 1 species
UACGGGACGCAGCAGUGGGAAUUUUGGACAAUGGGGAAACCCUGAUCCAGCGCCAUCCCGCGUGUGCGAUGAAGGCCUUCGGGUUGUAAAGCACUUUUGGCAGGAAAGAAACAGCGCAGGAUAAUACCCGUGCAACUGACCAGUACCUGCAGAAUAUUACCAGCUAACUAAAUUGCCAAGCAAGCCGCGGUAAUACGUAGGGUGCAAGCCGUUAAUCAGGUACUGGGCGUAAAGCGUGCGCGAAGGCAGGUUCGGAAAGAAAGAUGUGAAAAUCCCAGAGUUUAACUUUGGAACUGCAUUUUAUUUCGAGCUGAGUGAUAGGAAGGUGCAAUUUCGCGUGUAGCAGUGAAAUGCGUAGAUAUGCGGAGGAACACCGGAAGAUCGGCGAAGGCAGCCUCCUGGGAUAACACUGACGCUCAUGCACGAAAGCGUGGGGAGCAAACAGGAUUAGAUACCCUGGUAGU